rnacentral:lncRNA from 1 species
AAAAAACACAGAUGAUUGAUAAUGGAGAAGUAACCGGGGGCUUGGGAGGGCAAAGAUGGAUCUUGUUAGCAGCCUGUUGGAACCAGAACCAACAAAAAGAGCAAUUGUUGCCAAGUUUUUCUCACAUAGAGGUAACAAGUGUGUGAUUUGCAGAAUUAGAUUGUGAUGUUGCAGUGCCGAAAUAAGUUGUUUGUUGAUAAGCUGGGUCUUUUUCAGAAUGGAGGUGAGAGGGGUGCUGUUGGCGUUGUGCAAUAUGAGAAGAGAACAAAUGAAUCUUAAGGAAGUGCGUUUAGCAAUUGCAGAAGCAGGUGAUGGAAGAGAGCUUUCUGCUCUUUGUCGAAGCCAGACGUGAGUGCCUGCCGCUAAGGACUCAGACUUGUUCUUUCUUCUCCCAUUUUUGAUUAGUUAGGUUUUCUGUUGCUAAUUAUUCUGUAUUAUCUUUAAUAAAUUAUCUCUUCUACUUACAUCAAGUUAUUUUGUGGUUUUUUUUCC